rnacentral:rRNA from 1 species
GUCAAGCUACAAAGGGCUCACGGUGGAUACCUAGGCACAC